CGCUCUGCAACACUUCAACACUCUCUCGUCGCACCAUGAAGCUGAUUUCACUCUUGAUUGCCCUGGUUGUGGCCCUGUCUGGCCUCCUGGGUUCAGCUCGUGCCAUGCCUGGCCCUUCCCCUGUGGCUGACCCCGUGGCUGACCCUGACCCCGUGGCUGACCCCUGGUUCUUCAAGCGCAAGCACUACUACCCCCGCCGUCACCACUACCCUCGUUACCACCACUACCACCACUGGUGAACAUGAGAAAACGUUUCCCAGUAGAAAAACGUUUAUUCUGAAGAUAAGCUUAGAUGGACUUUGUUACAGUUCAUUUGCGUAUCAAAAUGUCAUCGUAUAUUGUUAACUUUGUUGUAAAAUAAAAUCCUGAAAUAAACAA